CAGGACUGUUACUUGAAAAAAUAGAGUGUUUAAGCAGCCAUUCGCCCUGAAUACAUUAGCAUGGAAUAAUAAAAUAGGACUUUGGUUUCUAUUUUGUUGGUUUCUAGACCGAAGUAAUGAUUAAUAGGGAUAGUUGGGGGCAUUAGUAUUUAAUUGUCAGAGGUGAAAUUCUGGAUUUAUGAAAAGACCUACCUUCUGCGAAAGCCAUUUGCCCAACGGAUGUUUUCAUUAAUUCAAGAACGAAAGUUAGGGGAUCGAGGACGAUCAGAUACCGUCGUAGUCUUAUCCAUAACUAUCCCGACCUAGGGAUCCAGACCACGAUUUUUUGACUUGUUUGUCCCCUUAUGAGAAAUCAAAGUUUUUGGUUCCGGGGGGAGGUAUGGUCGCAAGGCUAAACUUAAAGGAAUUGACGGAAGGGCACCCCCAGGAGUGGAGCCUGCGGCUUAAUUUGACUCAACACGGGGAAACUCACCAGGUCCAGACAUAGUAAGGAUUGACAGAUUGAGAGCUCUUUCUUGAUUCUAUGGGUAGUGGUGCAUGGCCGUUCUUAGUUGGUGGAGUGAUUGUCUGGUUAAUUCCGAUAACGAACGAGACCUUAACCUGCUAAAUAGUUUGGCCAACUUUUGUUGGUCAUCAACUUCUUAGAGGAACUAUCAACUAUCAUCCACGA
rnacentral:rRNA from 1 species